rnacentral:rRNA from 1 species
GAACGGGUGAGUAACACGUGGGUAAUCUGCCCUGCACUCUGGGAUAAGCCUGGGAAACUGGGUCUAAUACUGGAUAUGACCUUUCUCCUUAUGGGGUUUGGUGGAAAGUUUUUCGGUGUAGGAUGAGCCCGNNNNCUAUCAGCUUGUUGGUGGGNNNNUGGCCUACCAAGGCGACGACGGGUAGCCGGCCUGAGAGGGUGAUCGGCCACAUUGGGACUGAGAUACGGCCCAGACUCCUACGGGAGGCAGCAGUGGGGAAUAUUGCACAAUGGGCGGAAGCCUGAUGCAGCGACGCCGCGUGAGGGAUGACGGCCUUCGGGUUGUAAACCUCUUUCAGCAGGGACGAAGCGUAAGNNACGGUACCUGCAGAAGAAGCACCGGCUAACUACGUGCCAGCAGCCGCGGUAAUACGUAGGGUGCGAGCGUUGUCCGGAAUUACUGGGCGUAAAGAGCUCGUAGGCGGUUUGUCACGUCGUCUGUGAAAUCCUAGGGCUUAACCCUGGACGUGCAGGCGAUACGGGCUGACUUGAGUACUACAGGGGAGACUGGAAUUUCUGGUGUAGCGGUGGAAUGCGCAGAUAUCAGGAAGAACACCGAUGGCGAAGGCAGGCCUCUGGGUAGUAAUUGACGCUGAGGAGCGAAAGCAUGGGUAGCGAACAGGAUUAGAUACCCUGGUAGUCCAUGCCGUANACGGUGGGCGCUAGGUGUGGGGUUCCUCCCACGGGCUCCGCGCCAUAGCUAACGCAUUAAGCGCCC